UGAUAAGUGUAUGAUAUUCCUAGGGUGUA
rnacentral:piRNA from 1 species